rnacentral:rRNA from 1 species
UACGAAGGGGGCUAGCGUUGCUCGGAAUUACUGGGCGUAAAGCGCACGUAGGCGGGUCGUUAAGUCGGGGGUGAAAUCCUGGGAGCUCAACUCCAGAACUGCCUUCGAAACUGACGAUCUUGAGUUCGGGAGAGGUGAGUGGAACUGCGAGUGUAGAGGUGAAAUUCGUAGAUAUUCGCAAGAACACCAGUGGCGAAGGCGGCUCACUGGCCCGAUACUGACGCUGAGGUGCGAAAGCGUGGGGAGCAAACAGG